rnacentral:rRNA from 1 species
GUAAGGAAUAUUGGACAAUGGUGGCAACACUGAUCCAGCCAUGCCGCGUGAAGGAUGACUGCCCUAUGGGUUGUAAACUUCUUUUGUAUGGGAAGAAACCCUGAUACGUGUAUCAGGCUGACGGUACCAUAAGAAUAAGGAUCGGCUAACUCCGUGCCAGCAGCCGCGGUAAUACGGAGGAUCCGAGCGUUAUCCGGAUUUAUUGGGUUUAAAGGGUGCGUAGGCGGCUUUGUAAGUCAGUGGUGAAAUCCCAUCGCUUAACGAUGGAACUGCCAUUGAUACUGCAGAGCUUGAAUAUGUUUGAAGUGGGCGGAAUGUGUAGUGUAGCGGUGAAAUGCAUAGAUAUUACACAGAACACCGAUUGCGAAGGCAGCUCACUAAACCAUGAUUGACGCUGAGGCACGAAAGUGUGGGGAUCAAACAGGAUUAGAAACCCCUGUAGUCC